rnacentral:rRNA from 1 species
UGGGGAAUCUUGCGCAAUGGGCGAAAGCCUGACGCAGCAACGCCGCGUGAGCGAAGACGGCCUUCGGGUUGUAAAGCUCUGUCAGGAGGGACGAAGCCACUCAGGUGAAUAGCCGAGAGGGUGACGGUACCUCCAGAGGAAGCCCCGGCUAACUACGUGCCAGCAGCCGCGGUAAUACGUAGGGGGCGAGCGUUGUCCGGAAUCAUUGGGCGUAAAGCGCGUGUAGGCGGCCAUCCAAGUCCGAUGUGAAAGCUCGGGGCUCAACCCCGAGUCUGCAUUGGAAACUGAAUGGCUUGAGUCCGGAAGAGGAGACUGGAAUUCCUGGUGUAGCGGUGAAAUGCGCAGAUAUCAGGAAGAACACCGGUGGCGAAGGCGGGUCUCUGGGACGGUACUGACGCUGAGACGCGAAAGCGUGGGGAGCAAACA